rnacentral:rRNA from 1 species
GCCCCGGUAAACGGCGGCCGUAACUAUAACGGUCCUAAGGUAGCGAAAUUCCUUGUCGGGUAAGUUCCGACCUGCACGAAUGGCGUAAUGAUGGCCAGGCUGUCUCCACCCGAGACUCAGUGAAAUUGAACUCGCUGUGAAGAUGCAGUGUACCCGCGGCAAGACGGAAAGACCCCGUGAACCUUUACUAUAGCUUGACACUGAACAUUGAGCCUUGAUGUGUAGGAUAGGUGGGAGGCUUUGAAGUGUGGACGCCAGUCUGCAUGGAGCCGACCUUGAAAUACCACCCUUUAAUGUUUGAUGUUCUAACGUUGGCCCGUAAUCCGGGUUGCGGACAGUGUCUGGUGGGUAGUUUGACUGGGGCGGUCUCCUCCUAAAGAGUAACGGAG